UUCUUGGUCAUUUAGAGGAAGUAAAAGUCGUAACAAGGUUCCGUAGGUGAACCUGCGGAAGGAUCAUUAAUGGAUUUUACAGAUGGGCUUGAUGCUCGCAGUUGAUAUCUGCAUGUGCUCGCUCUUCUGAUUUUUGUUUUACACCUGUGCACUUGAUCUUUGUUUUUUUUCAGGCGUUUAGGGGUUAGGGGUUAGGGGCUAUAUAGAAGCCUGCCUUAAGCCUGCCUUUGGGAAAGUUAUAUUAGACCCGUUCAAUAUUUUCAAGGCCCAUGGAUGUUUAUCUGCCACAAGGCUUCUAAUACAACUUUUAACAAUGGAUCUCUUGGCUCUCGCAUCGAUGAAGAACGCAGCGAAAUGCGAUAAGUAAUGUGAAUUGCAGAAUUCAGUGAAUCAUCGAGUCUUUGAACGCACCUUGCGCUCUCUGGUAUUCUGGAGAGCACACCUGUUCGAGUGUCAUUAAGACUCUCAAAUAAAAGGUGGCUUUGCUGUCAUCUCUUGUUUGGAUCUGGGCUUUGCUGCAUUUAAUGUGGCUAGUCUUAAAUCUAUUAGCUGAUCCUUAUUGGGGGGGUUGUCUUUGGUUCUACUCAGUGUGAUAAUUAUCCAACAUUGAGGACAGUGUCAGAACUGGCCAAUAGCUCUCUGUCUGGGUUGCUUCCAAGUUGUCUCCAGGACAAUUGCCUUAGUGUUCUGGCCUCGAUC
rnacentral:rRNA from 1 species